AUAGCUGAAUGAUCAGCAGUGCAGCAAGCAAUGAUUUGGUUUACGCGGACUGUGUUAGUUAGUAGGCUGGCAUGUACUAGUUGUCUUACUUAUCUCAGAGUGUAUAUAGAUGAGCUACUAAGGUGUUGUUUGGUUUGAGUAAUCGUCAUUUCAUCCAAAAUGAGGUGUUGCAUCAUGUAUUCAUUCCUUAAAUUUAGUGGAGUUGUCUUACUUAUCUCAGAGUAUAUAUAGACGAGCUACUAAGGUGGUGUUUGGUUUGAGUAAUCGUCAUUUCAUCCAAAAUGAGGUGUUGCAUCAUGUGUUCAUUCCUCAAAUUUGGUGGGAUGACCUCAUUUCUCAUAUUAUUACUAACUAACUUAUUAUGAGUAAUGAGGUGGUGAUGGACCAACUUAUUUCAUUCCACAAAUCA